UCAGCAUGGUUUAAUUUCAGUCCCAGCUGACCCUGUGGCACCCUAAUGAAGAGAGAGCUAACAAUGAGCUGCUCUGCUGGAAGACAAGAGACAAUGAUAUACUCCAGACUGCACUGUCCUGUUUUGUACAGGACAUGAAACCUGACAAGUUGUUCACCCACAGAGAAAAAGCACUGGUGGUUAACUUGGAGGGGCUGAAGUCCAUGAACAGCAUUCUUACAUAAUUUACACAGCUUCAACCAAAACAGGGACCAAGGCCAGGAUGUGCCCUUUUCUGGUUAAAACAGUUUCAAUCAGCAAUGUUCAAAUGUUUAUUGCCAAUAAAGUACAUGAACAGAGGAAGAAAGAUCUUGUGCAUAGACUCCAUUGUGCAGACAGCUUAAAGAAGGCCACCUCUGCAUGGAACUGGGAAUAAUCCCACAGAGUCUAGACAUUGGUGGUGGUGGAGGUCAGAGAUGGAUGACAAUGAGGAUGGAGAGGAUGAGAGAGGGCAGGAGACUAAUGAGCCAGUCAGAGAAGCAUGGUGACAUGAUGCUACAAGGAGCUGAUGAUGGUGAAGGACCUGUGAUGGAGGUGCGUGGUGGUGCUGAAGAAGAAGCUGGAGCAGGAAUCUGGUGAGCCUGAUGCUGGACCCCUGGAUCACUGAUCUGAUGAACUGGUGGUGAACAGGGUGGAGGAGGGCUGCAACUGGCAGCGCUGAAAUGACAAGUGACAGCAGGGAGAGUGAUCAGUGGUCAGAGAAGACUGGCUCGCCUGAACUGCUGCCUAAAGAAAUCAUUUAAAAACUAAUCAUUAUUAAUAUUCCUAUUUGUCAGACUUUGCAGUCACAAAAUGGGACGACAACCAUUUGCUAUGAUGUACUCACAUACUGUGCCAAUGUACGCACUCAAACACACCUAUCACAAUGCUGUUAAAAUCUAAGUUUCUGGGAUAGCGAGCCAAGGUCAUUUACUAGCUUGGUGUUCUACUACAGCACUUGCUGUUAGAACUUCAAAUCUUUGGGAUUUUAACAAAGUUUAACAACAAUGAUUUUGUGAACAGAAAAACUAAAGCUGCCACGAAUAACUACAAGGGAACUUAAAUUACUAUAGCUUGAUUUCACCCAUAUCCAUAAAAUGUACAACAAUAUUCUCCCUUUAACCUUAAAAACUUACUUUUUGGCUGUGACCUCUGCUCUUCAGUUUUCAGAUGCCUCUGUCUUCCUGUUAUUACAGGCCUAUCUGAGCAGACAGCAACCCCUGGACUCCUGUUCUGCAUGCGUCUCUUUUGUUGAGUCACGACAUUGAGCCAGUGUGAUUUGUGAACGUGAACAUGUAGUUAAUGGUGUUUGCUGAAUGUAGAAAUAUGAAAUAAACUA